GAGUGAACGCUGGCGGUAGGCCUAACACAUGCAAGUCGAACGGCAGCACAGUAAGAGCUUGCUCUUACGGGUGGCGAGUGGCGGACGGGUGAGGAAUACAUCGGAAUCUACUUUUUCGUGGGGGAUAACGUAGGGAAACUUACGCUAAUACCGCAUACGACCUACGGGUGAAAGCAGGGGAUCUUCGGACCUUGCGCGAUUGAAUGAGCCGAUGUCGGAUUAGCUAGUUGGCGGGGUAAAGGCCCACCAAGGCGACGAUCCGUAGCUGGUCUGAGAGGAUAAUCAGCCACACUGGAACUGAGACACGGUCCAGACUCCUACGGGAGGCAGCAGUGGGGAAUAUUGGACAAUGGGCGCAAGCCUGAUCCAGCCAUACCGCGUGGGUGAAGAAGGCCUUCGGGUUGUAAAGCCCUUUUGUUGGGAAAGAAAAGCAGCAGGUUAAUACCCCGCUGUUCUGACGGUACCCAAAGAAUAAGCACCGGCUAACUUCGUG
rnacentral:rRNA from 1 species